rnacentral:rRNA from 1 species
GAUGAACGCUGGCGGCGUGCCUAAUACAUGCAAGUCGAGCGAACGGACGAGAAGCUUGCUUCUCUGAUGUUAGCGGCGGACGGGUGAGUAACACGUGGAUAACCUACCUAUAAGACUGGGAUAACUUCGGGAAACCGGAGCUAAUACCGGAUGAUAUUUUGAACCGCAUGGUUCAAAAGUGAAAGACGGUCUUGCUGUCACUUAUAGAUGGAUCCGCGCUGCAUUAGCUAGUUGGUAAGGUAACGGCUUACCAAGGCAACGAUGCAUAGCCGGCCUGCUAGGGUGAGCGGCCAGACUGGGAAGGAGACAGGGGACAGAGGGAUACGGGAGGCAGCAGUAGGGAAACUGGAGCAAUGGGCGAAAGCGUGACGGAGCAACGCCGAGUGAGUGAUGAAGGACUUCGGGUGGUAAAACUCUGUUAUUAGGGAAGAACAUAUGUGUAAGUAACAGUGAACAUCAUGACGGUACCUAAACAGAAAACCACGGCUAACUAAGGGC